rnacentral:lncRNA from 1 species
GACCGCCGUAGAAAUUUGGACGGAGUCUGAUUACUGUAAAAAUCUCAUUGUCGGAGAAGCUCAGAUAUCGACGAAGUCCGAAAGAAGUUCGGAGAAUAGUUGAUCACCGUAGAAAGUCGGCUGAUAGUGAGGCCCAGAGAGCCUUUGGAGCGGCUCGAUAGAUGGAUAGAGAAGCUCAUUGUCGGAGAAGUCCGGACGGUAUUAUAGAAGCUCGGACGGUCGAGGGGGUUCAGAGAGACGCCACAC